rnacentral:rRNA from 1 species
CAGCAGCCGCCGCGGUAAUACCGAGGGUGCGAGCGUUAAUCGGAUUUACUGGGCGUAAAGCGUGCGUAGGCGGCUUCUUAAGUCGGAUGUGAAAUCCCUGAGCUUAACUUAGGAAUUGCAUUCGAUACUGGGAAGCUAGAGUAUGGGAGAGGAUGGUAGAAUUCCAGGUGUAGCGGUGAAAUGCGUAGAGAUCUGGAGGAAUACCGAUGGCGAAGGCAGCCAUCUGGCCUAAUACUGACGCUGAGGUACGAAAGCAUGGGGAGCAAACAGGAUUAGAUACCCCAGUAGUCCCUGUCUCUUAUAC